rnacentral:rRNA from 1 species
CAGCCGCCGCGGUAAUACGAAGGGGGCUAGCGUUGUUCGGAAUUACUGGGCGUAAAGGGCGCGUAGGCGACUUGGUAAGUUAGAGGUGAAAGCCUGGAGCUCAACUCCAGAAUUGCCUUUAAGACUGCCGAGCUAGCAGGUGAGAGAGGUAAGUGGAAUUCCGAGUGUAGAGGUGAAAUUCGUAGAUAUUCGGAAGAACACCAGUGGCGAAGGCGGCUUACUGGCUCAUUCUAGACGCUGAGGUGCGAAAGCGUGGGGAGCAAACAGGAUUAGAUACCCGUGUAGUCCCUGUCUCUUAUAA